UGAGGAAUAUUGGGCAAUGCCCGCAAGGGUGACCCAGCAACGCCGCGUGGAGGAUGAAUGUCGUAAGAUUGUAAACUCCUGUUAGAGGGGAAGAAUAGUACCGGUUGGACCGGUAUAUGACUGUACCCUCAGAGAAAGCCCCGGCUAACUACGUGCCAGCAGCCGCGGUAAUACGUAGGGGGCAAGCGUUGUCCGGAUUUACUGGGUGUAAAGGGCGCGCAGGCGGGAUAAAAAGUCAGUGGUGAAAUCCUACAGCUUAACUGUAGAACUGCCUUUGAUACUUUUAUUCUUGAGUUCGGGAGAGAGACGGAAUUCCAGGUGUAGUGGUGAAAUACGUAGAUAUCUGGAAGAACACCAGUUGCGAAGGCGGUCUCUUGGUCCGACACUGACGCUGAGGCGCGAAAGCGUGGGGAGCAAAC
rnacentral:rRNA from 1 species